AAUCAUCCCAAUCAUAUCAAUUCCCCACAUGGAGAAGGGCCAUGGGGAAGAGAUAACAUUCAGUAGUAUCGGAGGAACAUGAAUCUUAUCAGCAUAAAUUUGACACUUAUGGCAUUUUUUCACAAAUUUGCAACAGUCAGAUUCCAUUGUCAACCAAUAGUAACCUGCUCGCAACAUCUUCUUCACCAUUGCAUGUCCAUUGGAAUGAGUAUCAAAGGAACCUUCA
rnacentral:lncRNA from 1 species